GACGUGACCUGACAGGACUGGGUGGUGAGGCCACGUAGCAAAGCGAUGUGUAAGUGGAAAGUUCCUGAGGACCCUGAAAUGAGACGGAAUCAGAAGUGCCCAGCAUUAUUUGUUGGGAUAACAAGCUGUUAGGAAGACUUCUAGAAGUUUGAAGCAACUUGCCUAUUGGGAGCAGAGUGGUAGAAGGCUUUCUAGGCCGAAGGCAUGUGCAAAGUUUCUGCUAUGGGAAAUCAUUGUGAAUUCUGGAAACUUUCUUUUGGUCUUGUCUUUUCUGAAGCCUUGAAAAUGGAUGAACUUUCAAGUUUCUUUCCAGCAUCGAGAUUUUGUGGAGAUUACAAUUGAGGAAUUUUGGUAAAUUUGGCCUUGCUUAAUUUGUGGUCAAAUCCAAAUCUUGCCUUGAACAAGUCACUCCUAAACUGUCUUGUCCAGGACUGUCCAGCAAAAUGUAAGGUAAGCUGCAUAUGUAACUUGAAGUGUUCUAGUAGGCAUAUUUAAAAAAUCAGGUGUCGGGGUGCCUGGGUGGCUCAGUCGGUUAAGCCUCCGACU